AAGAUUGUAGGUUAAGAGAAUUAUAAUUUAAAAUAAAGUUUUUUGUCGUAAAUAGGAAUUAUUUUCAAGAGAAGUUUGUUUUGUUUUCGUGCGCGUAGGAGACGAGACGUACGAAUUAAAUCAGUCGAGGGAAGGAUAAACGUUAGAAAGGAAUUAAAGAGAAAACGAGAGUUUAUGUAAAAGAGAGUUAUAGAAUUUAUAGUGAUGUUUUGUUUUAAUUAGAAAAAUGUUGAGAGUUGUUUCAGAACGACACGUCAGUGGACGUGGCAGAAUGAACACGUGACGGGGAGGUGCUGAGACCUAGCGGAGAACGGAGGAACCGCAAGCGAGGGUUGGCGCACCUGAUGGAAUUCGGUGACGUCACGGGCUCAUACGGAGACGUGGACAGGCCGUGACCUUGUUUUGAUCAGCUGUACGGUAACUUAGCGAUAAGAAAAUAGACUAUUGGUUAAAUACAUUUAAAUUUAAGUGUGUUUUAGGAGAAGAGGAACUUUCAGUAUAUUCCUUAAGAUGAGCUGAGCAGCAGUCCAGUUUACAAGAUGACAAGAGUUCGAGAGACAAGAUACAAGAUCACUGAAACAAGAGCCAAGACUGAAGAUUCAAGAGAAGAGAAAGCUGGCAGCCAUGGACUUACAAGUGGAGAUUAAUAAGGUCAUGUAAAGUUUUAUUUUUUUUUAUGGAAGACAGUAACUGGAGUUUUUUUUUUGUGUUAUAAACAUUAUUUACAGAACUUUUUAGGUUAUAGUAAUGUAAUGGAACUAGUGAGUUGUGGUAGCUGUCAAAAAGAACUAAUACCUUAAGUUUAAUUUUUAAAGUUAAUUUUCUUAAUUUACAGAGGGAUUAGUAGUUUUUUUUAAACCUUAUUUAGGUUGGAAUUUAAAUACAAUAGCUUAUUAUAAAUGUGUACGAACAGUUCAAGUUCACAGUACUGAUAGGUAGGUCAGAUGAUCUUAUUGAUUUUGAUGAUUUGUUGUUUUGAGUUGAUUUUUAAGUGUUGUGAAUUAGACAAUGAAAUAGUUCUGAAAACUUAAAUUAUUUCAAGCUAAGAAAUAGUAAAGUUAAUUGUAACUCAAAGGACACCAGAAUUUAAUUUUUUUUUGAAUUAGUAAUGUUUGAAAAUUUUAUACUUUACAAGAAAGGUUAUAAACAAACAGAUCGGAUGGAACAAGGAUGCAGUAAAUCACAAUUUCAUUUAGAAUUAUUGAUUAGCUUUUGAGGUUAUGAAGUAAAAGUAAUUAUAGUUUAAAAGUUUGAAUAAAAAAAAAUGUUUUUUUUUAUUUGUUUCAAAUAGAAAGUUUAAAAGUUAAUUAGUCAUGAUCUAGGUGGGUGAUGGGGUGGGAAUUGGCCACUCUUUUUCCCUAUAACCUCCCUAACAUGGCCUUCUAUUACAACUAACAGAAAUAAAGAAGAAGAAAAAUGAAGAAUUAUUAGUUAGAAUGUUUCUUUCAUGAAGAUACCUGAUGAACUUUUACUGUUUGGAAGAAUAGAAGCAAGGUUAGUCAGAUAUUUUUACUCAGAAGAAGAAGAAGAUAAAGCAGUUUUAUGACUCGACAAGCCAGAGAUUGGUGUUUCCCCUCUGCGCUCCUAUUGACUACGUUGUUUACUCUCAUGGGAUAGCUGGUUCGGCACCAUGGAGAGAGAUUGGUGGGCAUUGUGGUUGCCCCCAGAAGAAAAGAAGAGUAGAAGAGGUUAUGGGUGGGUCAUGUGAACUGACCUUCAACCCAGUUACUUCGUGGGGACUAUUUGCUGUAUAGAGAAGAUCAAGACUCAAGAGGUAGGGAAAAUCAUUGGAGGUCAUGUUUCCCUUCCUUAAGUUUUUCCUAUCAAAUUAUUUGCCUGAUUAGAUUAUGCUAAGGGUGGGAUAAUUUAUGUUAGCAGUUGAAUUAAUUAAUUUUAUUUUUUUGUGUGUUUGCAUCCUUGCCCAUCGAUUGCAGUUUAGUAGUUAGUUUUGUAUUUGUCAGGCGUGAUGGUAAUGCCUGUUGAUGAUGUUUCAGAAUUGUAAUCUGUUCGUGAUGAGGAUGGCACAACUCCGAAGCAGAUGUGGGGAGAAGUUGUGAGCUGCCCUGGAAGCCAGUCCAGUAGCUGUUGGAGUUGAGUGGUGUUUGCUGAUGGCCAGCCCAGGGAGCUACUCUUCUCGACAACACUGACUUCGAGGAGUUGCACCAACCUUCACGAGAUAAGAGUUUAAUUAAUUGAAACACUGUAAGGACACUUAAUUUUUUUUGAAGAACGAAAGAAGUAUGGUAAUAAACGGAAACCGAAAAAAAAA